UACAGAGGUCUCAAGCGUUGUUCGGAUUCAUUGGGCGUAAAGGGUGUGUAGGUGGCGCGCUAAGUCGGGUGUGAAAUUUCGGAGCUUAACUCCGAAACUGCAUUCGAUACUGGCGUGCUUGAGGACUGGAGAGGAGACUGGAAUUCAUGGUGUAGCAGUGAAAUGCGUAGAGAUCAUGAGGAAGACCAGUGGCGAAGGCGGGUCUCUGGGCUGAUACUGACGCUCAUGCACGAAAGCGUGGGGAGCAAACAGG
rnacentral:rRNA from 1 species